CGUGGAGUAGCUCAGCUUGGUCAGAGUACUCGCCUUGGAAGCGAGGGGCCGUUGGUUCGAAUCCAACCUCCGCGACCA
rnacentral:tRNA from 2 species